rnacentral:rRNA from 1 species
AGAGUUUGAUCCUGGCUCAGAGCGAACGCUGGCGGCAUGCUUAACACAUGCAAGUCGCACGGGCAGCAAUGUCAGUGGCGGACGGGUGAGUAACGCGUGGGAAUCCGUCUCCGGGUGGGGGAUAACGGUUGGAAACGACUGCUAAUACCGCAUGAAGCCCGAGGGCCAAAGCAGCGAUGCGCCUGGAGAGGAGCCCGCGU